rnacentral:rRNA from 1 species
AUGAACGCUAGCUACAGGCUUAACACAUGCAAGUCGAGGGGCAGCAUGGUCUUAGCUUGCUAAGGCCGAUGGCGACCGGCGCACGGGUGAGUAACACGUAUCCAACCUGCCGUCUACUCUUGGACAGCCUUCUGAAAGGAAGAUUAAUACAAGAUGGCAUCAUGAGUCCGCAUGUUCACAUGAUUAAAGGUAUUCCGGUAGACGAUGGGGAUGCGUUCCAUUAGAUAGUAGGCGGGGUAACGGCCCACCUAGUCUUCGAUGGAUAGGGGUUCUGAGAGGAAGGUCCCCCACAUUGGAACUGAGACACGGUCCAAACUCCUACGGGAGGCAGCAGUGAGGAAUAUUGGUCAAUGGGCGAGAGCCUGAACCAGCCAAGUAGCGUGAAGGAUGACUGCCCUAUGGGUUGUAAACUUCUUUUAUAAAGGAAUAAAGUCGGGUAUGGAUACCCGUUUGCAUGUACUUUAUGAAUAAGGAUCGGCUAACUCCGUGCCAGCAGCCGCGGUAAUACGGAGGAUCCGAGCGUUAUCCGGAUUUAUUGGGUUUAAAGGGAGCGUAGAUGGAUAUUUAAGUCAGUUGUGAAAGUUUGCGGCUCAACCGUAAAAUUGCAGUUGAUACUGGAUAUCUUGAGUGCAGUUGAGGCAGGCGGAAUUCGUGGUGUAGCGGUGAAAUGCUUAGAUAUCACGAAGAACUCCGAUUGCGAAGGCAGCCUGCUAAGCUGCAACUGACAUUGAGGCUCGAAAGUGUGGGUAUCAAACAGGAUUAGAUACCCUGGUAGUCCACGCCGUAAACGAUGACUACUAGGUGUCGGGCAGCAAAGCUGUUCGGUGCCGCAGCAAACGCAAUAAGUAGUCCACCUGGGGAGUACGUUCGCAAGAAUGAAACUCAAAGGAAUUGACGGGGGCCCGCACAAGCGGAGGAACAUGUGGUUUAAUUCGAUGAUACGCGAGGAACCUUACCCGGGCUUAAAUUGCAGAUGAAUUACGGUGAAAGCCGUAAGCCGCAAGGCAUCUGUGAAGGUGCUGCAUGGUUGUCGUCAGCUCGUGCCGUGAGGUGUCGGCUUAAGUGCCAUAACGAGCGCAACCCUUGUUGUCAGUUACUAACAGGUUCCGCUGAGGACUCUGACAAGACUGCCAUCGUAAGAUGUGAGGAAGGUGGGGAUGACGUCAAAUCAGCACGGCCCUUACGUCCGGGGCUACACACGUGUUACAAUGGGGGGUACAGAGGGCCGCUACCACGCGAGUGGAUGCCAAUCCCCAAAACCUCUCUCAGUUCGGACUGGAGUCUGCAACCCGACUCCACGAAGCUGGAUUCGCUAGUAAUCGCGCAUCAGCCACGGCGCGGUGAAUACGUUCCCGGGCCUUGUACACACCGCCCGUCAAGCCAUGGGAGCCGGGGGUACCUGAAGUGCGUAACCGCGAGGAGCGCCCUAGGGUAAAACUGGUGACUGGGGCU